GGGGCAGCAGGUCUGUAGCAAUACAGGCGCUGGCGACCGGCAAACGGGUGCGGAACACGUACACAACCUUCCUUUAAGUGGGGAAUAGCCCGGGGAAACCCGGAUUAAUACCCCGUAAUAUUAUGAAAUGGCAUCAUUUUAUAAUUAUAGCUCCGGCGCUUAAUGAUGGGUGUGCGGCUGAUUAGGUAGUUGGCGGGGUAAUGGCCCACCAAGCCUGCGAUCAGUAACUGGUGUGAGAGCACGACCAGUCACACGGGCACUGAGACACGGGCCCGACUCCUACGGGAGGCAGCAGUAAGGAAUAUUGGUCAAUGGACGCAAGUCUGAACCAGCCAUGCCGCGUGGAGGAUGAAGGUCCUCUGGAUUGUAAACUUCUUUUAUUUGGGAAGAAACCCAUAGUUUCUACUGUGGUUGACGGUACCAGAUGAAUAAGCACCGGCUAACUCCGUGCCAGCAGCCGCGGUAAUACGGAGGGUGCAAGCGUUAUCCGGAUUCACUGGGUUUAAAGGGUGCGUAGGUGGGUCUGUAAGUCCGUGGUGAAAUCUCCGAGCUUAACUUGGAAACUGCCAUGGAUACUAUAGGUCUUGAAUACUGUGGAGGUCAGCGGAAUAUGUCAUGUAGCGGUGAAAUGCUUAGAUAUGACAUAGAACACCAAUUGCGAAGGCAGCUGGCUACACAAAUAUUGACACUGAUGCACGAAAGCGUGGGGAUCAAACAGGAUUAGAUACCCUGGUAGUCCACGCCCUAAACGAUGGAUACUCGACAUUUGCGAUAAACUGCAAGUGUCUGAGCGAAAGCAUUAAGUAUCCCACCUGGGAAGUACGAUCGCAAGAUUGAAACUC
rnacentral:rRNA from 1 species